GCUCUUUUCUUUAGGGUCGUGUGUAUAAUGCCAAUAUUUUAACUAAUAAUAGGUAAACUGAUAAAAGUUAAAAUUAACUUGUUAGAAGCCUAUUUUUAAUAUAAUUCGUAGAUAAGUCAUCUAAUAAAAUAGAUACUAUUACUACACAGGUGAUUCAUAUAUCUAUGCUACCUUGAAUAACAUAAAUCAACUUUUUAGUUUAAAGUUUAGCUUUUAUUUGUAAGAAAGGUUACAUAAAGGAAAACUAAGGAUCUCAUUGGAUGCAGAAGUGAGGCCUAUAUAUUGGCUACCUCCAGGAAAUAGUUCAAACCUUCAACACACAGUAAAGCCUGUGAGCAUAAUUUUGGAACAGUUUUUUCUGGUAGUUGAGGAUCAUAGGAAGGACAUUAAAGCUUGAAGCAUUCAGAGCCUAGGAAGUAUUAUUAAACUU